UGCCUUUCAAUUCCUGGUUCGGCUUAUCUGCGGGUCAUAUCAUUUUCUUUCGUAUUUCAAUGCUCAAGUUAACACCUCGGCUUAUCUACGGGGUCGGCUUAUCCGCGGUCAUAUACGGUAUGUCAUUCUAGUGUCAGAUGUCAAGGUCAGUUUCAAGGUCACUCAUGAAAUGACUUGUAAUAGCUUGUGAUUGGAUUUUGACAAAACCUUUUUACAUGAUCUUUAGGCAGUUCACAGCCGAGAUUGAAGGUCAAGGUCAUCAAACUGGAAGUGCUUUUAACUUGUUCUUAAGGUAGCUGGAGGCAUGACUUUGUUUCAAAGCUGUACUGCAUUGUCUAUGAGUUUUCCCAAACUGGAAUUGCUCAUGACAUUAUCAUGGUAGCUAGAGACGAAGGUUUUUGUUGCAUUUGGCAUGUGAGGAUGACUGUCACCUGGUGUAGUAAACUCAAAAUAGUUUAUGAUACAUGUGUCUGAUGGGAAAGGUUUGGGGGGAAAGGGUCUGCUUUUGCUUUGUAAUGGAUAUAAUUAUCCAUGAGAACAGCUCAUGUGAUCAGGUAAAUGUAUGUUGAGAAUCCUGGGUAUAACAAAGAAGAGCACAUGGGGGGGGGGGGGGUUUAAUGGCAUUGACUUGAUGUUGAUUACAGUAGUCAUGUUUUUAUGUAUAUGUUUAUCUUAGCUAAUGAAACAUUUUUAAUCAAAGUAAAGUUUGUUAUCUAGUUCAUUGUGUGUGACAGAUUUUAAUGUUGCAAGGUACAUUUCUCCCACAUUCCAGUAUACCCUGACACUGCUUCAAUACCGGCCAGUGUAUGGCUCUAGAUUAUCAGACCUAGUGGUAUCUAGCAGGGUCGAGCAGGCCACUGCAGUGUUUAGUCUGACGUCUACCUAGUGGUACUGCAAUGAAGUAUUUUCAUGGUUUACCAAGAUUCUACCAAAAAUGUUCUUAAACUUGUAAAUUUUUACACUAGCCUAUACACUUGUCUCCUUGUAUACUUAUUGGAAGUGUUGGUAAAUUGCCUUGCACAGUUGUUCUCAAGAGUUGACAUUUCUGUACUUAGACGAUGUAGGCAAUGUAAACCGCUAUCAAUGUAACGCCACCCAACAAGAAUAGGAGAGCUUCUGUUAGGAACAGUUUCUCAUUUGGCAAUCAGACAGUUGUUUUGAAUGGCAGUUUAUUGCAAUGUAAAUAUACCUUCUGACAUUUGUUACCAUUUCUCACGGCUCUUGGCUUCACUACACAGCUAUGAACUGGGGCAAGGGAUGUACACAGGACUACCUGGUCCUGUGGUUAAUUGUUUAUUUCUGAUUAUGCACACAUUGCUUCUGACUUUUAUAUGAUUGAGUAAACUAAAGGUAAAGUUUGCAUGAGCAGAACAUGUUGUAUGUGUAUCUAAGUAGUUUUUGCAAGGGCUGCAGUAAAACACUUUUCAUUCAGAUAUUUUGUACCCAACUCAUGGGACUUAUAGUGGGUACCCAGGUAGGGUCAGGUGAUAGGGUGUCGGGUACCCAGGUAGGGUCAGGUGAUAGGGUGUCGGGUACACAAGUAGGGUACACAAGUAGGGUCAGGUGAUAGGGUGUCGGGUACCCAGGUAGGGUCAGGUGAUAGGGUGUCGGGUACCCAGGUAGGGUCAGGUGAUAGGGUGACGGGUACACAAGUAGGGUACACAAGUAGGGUCAGGUGAUAGGGUGUUGGGUACCCAGGUAGGGUCAGGUGAUAGGGUGUCGGGUACCCAGGUAGGGUCAGGUGAUAGGGUGUCGGGUGCCCGUGUAGUAUGUAUCAUCUACACCAUCAUCUCAACCAUAAGGCUGAAAUGGAAGAUGAAGGAAUUGGUUUCAUGUUUGUCUGUGCUGCUUCUAUAUUUCCAUGAUAGCAGACUACAGGUCCUGCAUGUGUAACAUUCCCUUACCUUACCUCCCUGGCGUGUCUGCCUGCCUGCAGCAGGUGGUAUGGUGUCUGUGUCUGUCCAUCCUUCCCACCACAUCACUGCCUGUACCUCACGCAACUUACUAUGUACAAACUAACAUUGCAAUAUUUUUUGUACAGUUUAUACUUCCUGCACAAAGACUAUUUUUAUGAAUAUUCUCCUAUAUUUGACAUUUUUUACAUGAUGUGCAUGACAGGUGACCUGUUGGUGUAUGCCACUAAUGUGCAUUGACCUGGUAUCUCACCACUGACCACUAGCUACUAGUAUCAAUCACAAAACUGUACACCCAUCCUUGCAUCAAAACAUUCCCAUCUUUGAGAAGCAGCCUUCAAUCAACUUACUAUGUAUAUUACAAUAUCUAGCCCAGUCAUGUACCCCUGGGUAAUGCAUUUCAGUGUGGCUGCAGACAGCUGCUUGUCCCAUGUCUACCAUGUUAAAUGAACAUUAGAAGGUCCCACUGAAGAAACAAUAUGCAGACAAAUAUUUUUCUAAUUUUUGUAUUUGUAUAUCCUGAUGUAAUAAAGUGUUGUCAGUGUACCCAUGUGUGGUACAGUGAAGCUGGUAGCUGUAGUGCUGUGCUGCUGUAUUGUGGUGCUGUCAGACAUGAUGCUGGCCAUCACUCACAAUGUCAGUAAACUUGCUUCACCAUCA